GUGGGGAAUCUUCCGCAAUGGACGAAAGUCUGACGGAGCAACGCCGCGUGAGUGAUGAAGGUUUUCGGAUCGUAAAGCUCUUUCGUUAGGGACGAACGUGCUCUUUGUGAAUAAUGAGGAGUAAUGACGGUACCUAAAUAAGAAGCCACGGCUAACUACGUGCCAGCAGCCGCGGUAAUACGUAGGUGGCAAGCGUUGUCCGGAAUUAUUGGGCGUAAAGCGCGCGCAGGCGGGAUAUCAAGUCUGUCUUAAAAGUGCGAGGCUCAACCUCGUGAGGGGACAGAAACUGGUAUUCUUGAGUGUCGGAGAGGAAAGUGGAAUUCCAAGUGUAGCGGUGAAAUGCGUAGAGAUGUGGAAGAACACCAGUGGCGAAGGCGACUUUCUGGACGAUGUCUGACGCUGAGAUGCGAAAGCCAGGGUAGCGAACGGGAUUAGAAACCCUUGUAGUCC
rnacentral:rRNA from 1 species